UUUUUUUUUUCCCGUCUCCUCUCUCUCUGAGAAGGAGAAGAAGUGAAGAACUCCAUUACAAGGAGGAGACUUCUGAAUCUUCUCUUCUCCAUUACUUACCACCUCUCGAUUCAGAAGAAGAAGGAGAAAUUGUUAACCAAGGAUUUGUAAUUAAGAUAUCAAAAAGAUUUAUUCCUUCUCUACAAGAGUUGAUUUGAUUUGGCUUGGAUUUUAUUUCCACCAAACUGCGUUACUUGGUCCUAUCAACAUCAAUGCCACCACCAGUGUUGCUGCCAUGGAAUAGAAUCAAUAGAUAUUCAAGGCUUUGUAUUUGUCAUUGCCACCAGUGCUACAUUUUUACCACCAAUGUCCAGUCAGUGACUCAGUGCUACUGCUAGUCUUCUACUUGUUACUUAGACUCUUUUACUACUUCUUAGUUCCUACUACUGUAGUACUGUUUAAUUGUGUGUGUGAAUGUGUGAGUGACUGUCUAUCAAUCUUUGACUCUUAUGGUACUUGCUACUUUUUUAGUUUUUUAAGACUUGGUAUUUGAUAGUUUUCUUUGCUAGUAUUAAUAGUAUUGUUUCUUCUUGUUA